GGAGUCUCGAUCUUCAAUGGUUUGGGGGACAGGCUUCAAACCUGUUGAGGGGGAGACCCCUAGUGGUUCGAUUCCACCUUGGCUCC
rfam:Gonapodya prolifera JEL478 unplaced genomic scaffold M427scaffold_49, whole genome shotgun sequence.